rnacentral:misc_RNA from 1 species
AAAUGCGAUAAGUAAUGUGAAUUGCAGAAUUCAGUGAAUCAUCGAAUCUUUGAACGCACCUUGCGCUCCUUGGUAUUCCUUGGAGCAUGCCUGUUUGAGUAUCAUGAAAUCUUCAAAGUAAAUCUUUUGUUAACUCAAUUGGUUUCUACUUUGGUAUUGGAGGUCUUUGCAGCUUCACACCUGCUCCUCUUUGUUCAUUAGCUGGAUCUCAGUGUUAUGCUUGGUUCCACUCGGCGUGAUAAGUUAUCUAUCGCUGAGGACACUGUAAAAGGUGGCCAAGGUAAAUGCAGAUGAACCGCUUCUAAUAGUCCAUUGACUUGGACAAUACUUUUAUGAUCUGAUCUCAAAUCAGGUGGGACUACCCGCUGAACUUAAGC